UACGUAGGGGGCAAGCGUUGUCCGGAUUUAUUGGGCGUAAAGAGCGUGUAGGCGGCCAGACAGGUCCGUUGUGAAAACUCGAGGCUCAACCUCGAGACGUCGGUUGAAACCGUAAGGCUAGAGUCCGGAAGAGGAGAGUGGAAUUCCCGGUGUAGCGGUGAAAUGCGCAGAUAUCGGGAAGAACACCCGUGGCGAAGGCGGCUCUCUGGGACGGUACUGACGCUGAGACGCGAAAGCGUGGGGAGCGAACAGG
rnacentral:rRNA from 1 species